rnacentral:rRNA from 1 species
UAACGCGUGAGGAACCUGCCUUGGAGUGGGGAAUAACAGCCAGAAAUGGCUGCUAAUACCGCAUAAUGCAGUUGGGUCGCAUGGCUCUGACUGCCAAAGAUUUAUCGCUCUAAGAUGGCCUCGCGUCUGAUUAGUUUGUUGGCGGGGUAACGGCCCACCAAGACGACGAUCAGUAGCCGGACUGAGAGGUUGGCCGGCCACAUUGGGACUGAGACACGGCCCAGACUCCUACGGGAGGCAGCAG